GACGAACGCUGGCGGCGUGCUUAACACAUGCAAGUCGAACGGAAAGGCCUCUUUCGGUGGGUACUCGCGUGGCGAACGGGUGAGUAACACGUGCGUAACCUGCCCUUGACUAUGGGUUAACUUCAUGAAACUGGCGCUAAUACCGGAUAGGAGCUCCUGCUGCACGCUGGGUGUUGGAAAGUUUCGGGGGUUUGGGAUGGACUCGCGGCUUAUCAGCUUGUUGUUGGCGUAGUGGGUUACCAAGGCGUUGCCGGGUAGGCGGCCUGUGAGGGUGAGCGGCGAUAUAGAGACUGAGAUGCGGCAGAAACACCGAAGGGAGGGAGAAGUGGGGAAUAUUGCAGAAUCAGUGGAAGGCUGAUGAAGCAAGGCCGCGUGCGGGAUGACGGGGUUCGGGUUGAAAACCGAAUGUGUAAAUGACGAAGCAUUGUGUGACGGUAGUGGGUAAAGAAGCACCGGCUAACUACGUG
rnacentral:rRNA from 1 species